UGUAACUAUUGAGUGGGAACUAAAUCCAGUCCCAGUUUUAAUGCUUUUCCAAUUCAAACGUGUUAUGCAUGUAUGUGUCUCUUUCUAACCCUUCGAGCUUCUCUCUGUGUACGAUUUAGGGUUACAUUCCGAAAAGCAAAUGGGAGAUGGACACUUCUGAGGCAAAGCUAGGUGGGUAUUGCCUUUUUCCUGUUUUUAUAUGUGAUACCUGAUGGUAAUGGUCAUAGAGCUUUUCACUGCACACAGUCAAGGGCCGGAAACUUCUGCUUAAAGCAAGAUUUUGGCCAACCCACAUCCUUCAGUCAUCUCACCAGCUUCUGCCCUAACUGCUUACACCUGUGACAGGUUAAAAAGCAUAUUGUCUACAAAAAAUACUUUUGGUAUCAUUGGAAGUUUUUGGGAUAAUUAGAAAUAUUUGAUAAGCAUAAUACCAUACUGUCAUUUCUGAAAUUCAUUUUUUAGUAUUAAUCAGAAAUGUGUCCCUAACAUUUUUUUAAAAGAUACUUAUCUGUAACCCAAAGUUGAGCUUCUUUGUGAGUACUUUAGUAAUAAUUUUAAUAAAUAUUUGUGUUUUUAAAAGUAACUGAAAAUACCUUGGGUAAUAAAUUUGGUUUCUGUGGUAAGGAAAGGAAAGUAAAUAUAUAAUUCGAAUAUUCAAGGAGACUCCAUUUAAAUUUUCCUUCAGGCUGUCUUUAGUGCUGUGUUACAAGGUUAACCUUUUAAAAUAACUAUUUAAAUCAAACCUUUGAGUUGCUUGAUUUAGUCAAGUAAAAAACAAAUUGUAUGAAAUGGAUUUCUUCAGGAUCUUAGUUUGAUAUUGUAAGGUAGUGUUUUUUGGGUUUUGUUUUUUUUUUUUUAUUUUUUUACUUCACUUAAAGAGACUGAUUUAACAUGUCAAUUAAGAUGUGUCAAUAAAAUGUUAAGGAAGCAUGCCAUGCCAGGCCUUCUGAUUAGGAAAGGUGACUCUUGUAUUUCUUCUCUUGCUGGUGUACUCUUACUCCAAAACCAAGCAACCAUCUAAUCCUAAAUUUGCAGAGUUAGUCUGGCUACUCAGGGUAUGUGUUUUAUAUCAAAGGGGAUACAUUGUAUACACACUUGCAUGGGUCAUGCCUUGGAUUGUGCCCAAGCACUUGGGUUAGAGAUAGCUGGUUUUGACUAGGUUGUAUAUUAAAAGAUAAGUUCACAAGCUCUAUUAUUGUAUUAUGGGAAUAGGUGUUUGCUAUAAAGUCUAAAAAGUUUUAGCGUGUGUCAAAUGAAAAUUAUUUGUGGUUUAUUGAUGUAUUCAUCUAUUAAUCUUUCUUGAGAGAAAUCUUAAUAAUAGUCAACUGUCUCCUUUCCACAUACUAUAGACAUUUAUUUGCUUAAAUACAGUAAAUAUUUAAGAAAAAUAAUAGCUACAACUUCCUUUUUAAAAAGGGUGGUGUUUUAUUUUUGCUUGUUUUGAAAGAGGUUAGCCCUGUUUGAAGUUGCGUACUUUUAAAAUAACCUGUGAGACUGUAAGAUGAUUUGAUUCUGUCAGUGCUUUAUUGAUGGCAAAGAACAAUCAUAAAAAUAAGGGAAUUGUCAGAAUGGUGCAUAUUUUUAACAAAUAUUCUUCCAGAGCCUUGUGUAAUACAUGAUUUGGGAUUUUGCUUUUUUUAAAAAAAUGCCAUUCCAUUUUCUAUUUUCCUUUCUAGUUUUAGAGGAGAAAAGAAAAUGGAAUAUAGCCAUGAUAGCUGUUUAAGAAAAACAUUAUUACUAUUUGUAUUCAUUUCUGGGAAAUUUGACUUGUCUACUAUUUAUUUCUCAGAAAUGUGUCUUAUACAGUCUGUCAGUUUUGAAGAUAUUACACAGUAAAUUGCAGAAAUGGAUUUGUCAUAAAUCCUUUCAGAAAUGACACUAAUGGUCUGGUGAUAAAUCUAGAAAGGGGAAUUUUUAAUUAGUUUUAAAAAGAGUGAGUGAUAUUUUGUAUAAUUACCCGGCACCUGGCACCGCUGGAUUAUCUUGAGAACUAAUCCAGCCUUGG
rnacentral:lncRNA from 1 species